rnacentral:rRNA from 1 species
UGGGGAAUUUUGCACAAUGGGGGAAACCCUGAUGCAGCGACGCCGCGUGAUUUAGAAGGCCUUCGGGUUGUAAAAAUCUUUUCUAUGGGAAGAAAAUGACAGUACCAUAGGAAUAAGGACCGGCUAAUUACGUGCCAGCAGCCGCGGUAAUACGUAAGGUCCGAGCGUUGUCCGGAAUCAUUGGGCGUAAAGGGUACGUAGGCGGGUAAGCAAGUUAGAAGUGAAAUCCUAUAGCUCAACUAUAGUAAGCUUUUAAAACUGCUCAUCUUGAGGUAUGGAAGGGAAAGUGGAAUUCCUAGUGUAGCGGUGAAAUGCGCAGAUAUUAGGAGGAAUACCGGUGGCGAAGUCGACUUUCUGGCCAUAACCUGACGCUGAGGUACGAAAGCGUGGGUAGCAAACAGG